ACGACUCUCACUCAUUGAGGGCCGGGAUUUAAGAAACCUCACUGCAGGCAUUCUGCGCGCUGUCUUCACAGACGACUUGGGAGCGAAGUUCAGCAUACUAGGCCAGCGGCAAAAAAAAAAAAGAGCCUAAGAGACUUGCAUGUGUACAGUGUCAUUGAAGAGACGAUUCGAAGUGAUCCUAUGUGUGCAAAUGCAACAACCCAUGUCAUUCGUCAAGCAGCAGCUGCCUGGCUGAAAAAUUGCAGUCUGCGAGCGGCUAAGGGGCACCAAAAGGACGUAGCGCAUUCUUUGGUGGAACAUGCAUAGAAGUUUCAAAUUAUAGAGUGAGUUAUACAAAUAUUCUACCACCAUUCUUAUGCCAAGAAUUUAUUGAUGGUCUUGCUUCACUUCUCAUAUAUAUUUUUUCACCCCUAAGUGAUGGUGCUUGUUUUUGUUGUAUAUUUGUUCUUAUGCCAUUGUGCAUGCAUUCUUGUGACAGCCACUUGAAACCUGGCAGAAAACAAGCUGCUGUGCAUCCUUAGUGCUAACUGAGGUCAUAAAAAAAUUCAGUUUCACAACUGCUAUGAUUAACACGCACAUCACCCUUGUGGUGGUUAAAGUGGUGUGUGCAUUAGAGAACCUGUACUGUUCUAUACCCUUGAAAGCUGUCAAUGGGGCAAGGCCUUUUUUCUGUUUAUCUAGCGUCAUUGCAAAUUUUUCUGCAAUAUGUGAAAUGCCAGUUGCAUUUGUACUUAAAGUAUUUAAUCUCUCUUUACUGGUUUUGAGUGCUCUAGAU